rnacentral:rRNA from 1 species
AUUGAACGCUGGCGGCAUGCUUUACACAUGCAAGUCGAACGGUAACAGGGUGCUUGCACCGCUGACGAGUGGCGAACGGGUGAGUAAUGCGUCGGAACGUGCCGAGUAGUGGGGGAUAACGCAGCGAAAGUUGUGCUAAUACCGCAUACGUACUGAGGUAGAAAGUGGGGGACCUUCGGGCCUCACGCUAUUCGAGCGGCCGACGUCUGAUUAGCUAGUAGGUGAGGUAAAGGCUCACCUAGGCGACGAUCAGUAGCGGGUCUGAGAGGAUGAGCCGCCACACUGGGAAUGGGACACGGCCCAGACUCCUACGGGAGGAAGCAGUGGGGAAUUUUGGACAAUGGGCGAAAGACUGAUCCAGCCAUGCCGCGUGUCUGAAGAAGGCCUUCGGGUUGUAAAGGACUUUUGUCAGGGAGGAAAUCCCUAGCGUUAAUACCGCUGGGGGAUGACAGUACCUGAAGAAUAAGCACCGGCUAACUACGUGCCAGCAGCCGCCGUAAAAC